rnacentral:tRNA from 1 species
GCCGGUGUAGCUCAGUCGGUAGAGCAGCUGAUUCGUAAUCAGCAGGUCGGUGGUUCAAGUCCACUCACCGGCA